UAAACACUUAAAACAUUUUUCUUUCCCUUCCUCAGUGACCUAAAAUUUAUUUUUCCCCAAACUAAAAUUAAGGCAAUCUGUUUCGAGAGAUUGGAGAUGAGAUCUCCGUCCUCCUGACCUGAGGAGGAAGAUGAGAGAGAGACUCGCAAUCUUUCAGAUCGGAGAAACGUUCUUCAGGAUCCUCCUCCAACCUAAACUCGAAAUCACCAGCGUGACUGUGACCUACGAUUGUUAGCCUACGCUCCGUAAAAUUCACUCCGGCUCCGGAAAUGGUCAUCGACGUUUAAACGGAGAAAGAUGCCUCUGCUGAUUCACCCACUUCUGUUCUCAACGAGGAGGAUAACUGAUUUUGGUCUCCGUCAUCGUAACACUGAUUUUGGUCUCCGUUAUCUGAUUUUGAAGGAUGGUUCUUCUUCGAAGCCUUCUCUUCUCGGCCCUGUUUAUUAUGCAGGUUUCCAUUACAAAGGUUCAUCCAUCUUAAUGUACUUGGCACACAAACUCAUUGUUUGGUAUCAGGGACAAGAAGCUUCAAUGCUGCUUCCUUUCUCAUAUGUUGUGGUCUCGGGUGCUAUAGGAUCAUGUUCGGUUUUAUUUGCCAAGUCACUGUGAGAUGCUCAGUGACUUGAUUUAUUUCUCUCAUUGUCACAUCGACUUAAUCUAUUUUGUCACAUAGCCAUUGGAGAAAUAUUCUCUGCUACAGACUCUGUUUGCACCUUGCAAGCUGGAUUGCUCAGUGCUUUCAUUAUGAAGAAUCUCUAUAUUGGAAGGCACUCUACUGAUCGUGAAGUUGUACAUAUUUAUGCUAUAGUAUGCAUCUGCAUAAAUGUUCAUGGCCUGAAUAUAUACUUUUGGUUAUCAUUCAUCUCUGUCAUUCUUGUCAUCUUGGUUGGAACCAAACUAGAGCAUGUUGUCUCAGGUUAAGGAGCAGCAGACAUGCACAACUAAUGGGGCUCAAGUCAAACCACAUGACAGACUCUUCUGGUUUGGGAAACUAUCUUUUUUGAAUGUAUUUAUAUAUCUUCUAUUUGUAAGUGGUUUUUAACUCUCUGUUUGAGAGUUUAAAACUCUAUCUUGUUUGAGUGUAUGAUAUUAAACUAAGUUUAACAUUAAUUAUAAUUGUGUAUGUUUUGCAAUUUAAUUUUUAAUAUAUUUUCACAUAAUUUGUUUUUA